UACGUAGGGUCCGAGCGUUGUCCGGAGUUACUGGGCGUAAAGCGCGCGCAGGCGGCGGUGCUGGCCCGGCGUGAAAGCCCCCGGCUCAACCGGGGAGAGUCGUCGGGGACCGCACCGCUUGAGGGCGGUAGGGGCUGGUGGAAUGCCUGGUGUAGUGGUGAAAUGCGUAGAGAUCAGGCAGAACACCUGGGGCGAAGGCGGCCAGCUGGGCCGUCCCUGACGCUGAGGCGCGAAGGCGUGGGGAGCGAAUGGG
rnacentral:rRNA from 1 species